AACGAACGCUGGCGGCAGGCCUAACACAUGCAAGUCGAGCGCCCCGCAAGGGGAGCGGCGGACGGGUGAGUAACGCGUGGGAACGUGCCCUUUGCUACGGAAUAGCCCCGGGAAACUGGGAGUAAUACCGUAUAAGCCCUACGGGGAAAGAUUUAUCGGCAAAGGAUCGGCCCGCGUUGGAUUAGGUAGUUGGUGGGGUAAUGGCCUACCGAGCCGACGAUCCAUAGCUGGUUUGAGAGGAUGAUCAGCCACACUGGGACUGAGACACGGCCCAGACUCCUACGGGAGGCAGCAGUGGGGAAUCUUAGACAAUGGGGGAAACCCUGAUCUAGCCAUGCCGCGUGAUCGAUGAAGGCCUUAGGGUUGUAAAGAUCUUCCAGGUGGGAAGAUAAUGACUGUACCACCAGAAGAAGCCCCGGCUAACUCCGUGCCAGCAGCCGCAGUAA
rnacentral:rRNA from 1 species